rnacentral:rRNA from 1 species
UACGUAGGGGUGCAAGCGUUUAAUCGGAAUUACUGGGCGUAAAGCGUGCGCAGGCGGCUUUGCAAGACAGAUGUGAAAUCCCCGGGCUUAACCUGGGAACUGCAUUGGUGACUGCAAGGCUUGAGUGUGUCAGAGGGAGGUGGAAUUGCCGGCGUGUAGCGUGAAAUGCGUAGAUAUGCGGAGGAACACCGAUGGCGAAGGGCAGGCCUCCUGGGAGCUACGACUGACGCUCAUG